GCCCCUGUGGCGGAAUUGGUAGACGCGGCAGACUCAAAAUCUGUUGUUCGCAAGAACGUGGGAGUUCAAGUCUCCCCGGGGGCACCA
rnacentral:tRNA from 1 species